rnacentral:rRNA from 1 species
GAUGAACGCUAGCGGCAGGCUUAACACAUGCAAGUCGAGGGGUAACGUGAGUGCUUGCACUUGACGACGACCGGCGAACGGGUGCGUAACGCGUAUAGAAUCUACCUUGUACAGGAGGAUAGCCCAGAGAAAUUUGGAUUAAUACUCCAUAAUGUUAUAUAGUGGCAUCAUUAUAUAAUUAAAGAUUUAUUGGUACAAGAUGACUAUGCGUCCUAUUAGUUAGAUGGUAAGGUAACGGCUUACCAUGGCAUCGAUAGGUAGGGGGUCUGAGAGGAUUAUCCCCCACACUGGUACUGAGACACGGACCAGACUCCUACGGGAGGCAGCAGUGAGGAAUAUUGGACAAUGGGCGAGAGCCUGAUCCAGCCAUGCCGCGUGCAGGAAGACUGCCCUAUGGGUUGUAAACUGCUUUUAUACAGGAAGAAACCUACUUACGUGUAAGUAGCUGACGGUACUGUAAGAAUAAGCACCGGCUAACUCCGUGCCAGCAGCCGCGGUAAUACGGAGGGUGCAAGCGUUAUCCGGAAUCAUUGGGUUUAAAGGGUCCGCAGGCGGUCAAUUAAGUCAGAGGUGAAAUCUCACAGCUUAACUGUGAAACUGCCUUUGAUACUGGUUGACUUGAGUCAUAUGGAAGUAGAUAGAAUAAGUAGUGUAGCGGUGAAAUGCAUAGAUAUUACUUAGAAUACCGAUUGCGAAGGCAGUCUACUACGUAUGUACUGACGCUCAUGGACGAAAGCGUGGGGAGCGAACAGG